rnacentral:rRNA from 1 species
GACGAACGCUGGCGGCGUGCCUAAUACAUGCAAGUUGAGCGCUGAAAGUUGGUACUUGUACCGACUGGAUGAGCAGCGAACGGGUGAGUAACGCGUGGGGAAUCUGCCUUUGAGCGGGGGACAACAUUUGGAAACGAAUGCUAAUACCGCAUAAAAACUUUAAACACAAGUUUUAAGAUUGAAAGAUGCAAUUGCAUCACUCAAGGAUGAUCCCGCGUUGUAUUAGCUAGUUGGUGAGGUAAAGGCUCACCAAGGCGAUGAUACAUAGCCGACCUGAGAGGGUGAUCGGCCACAUUGGGACUGAGACACGGCCCAAACUCCUACGGGAGGCAGCAGUAGGGAAUCUUCGGCAAUGGACGAAAGUCUGACCGAGCAACGCCGCGUGAGUGAAGAAGGUUUUCGGAUCGUAAAACUCUGUUGGUAGAGAAGAACGUUGGUGAGAGUGGAAAGCUCAUCAAGUGACGGUAACUACCCAGAAAGGGACGGCUAACUACGUGCCAGCAGCCGCAGUAACAC